GAUGAACGCUAGCGGCAGGCCUAAUACAUGCAAGUCGAGGGGUAGAAGAGGCUUGCUUCUUUGAGACCGGCGCACGGGUGCGUAACGCAUAUGCAACCUACCUUCAUCUGGGGGAUAGCCCGGAGAAAUCCGGAUUAAUACCGCAUAAAAUCACAGGAUGGCAUUAUCCAAUGAUCAAACAUUUAUGGGAUGGAGAUGGGCAUGCGUGUCAUCAGCUAGUUGGCGGGGUAACGGCCCACCAAGGCGACGAUGACUAGGGGAUCUGAGAGGAUGGCCCCCCACACUGGUACUGAGACACGGACCAGACUCCUACGGGAGGCAGCAGUAAGGAAUAUUGGUCAAUGGAGGCAACUCUGAACCAGCCAUGCCGCGUGCAGGAAGACUGCCCUAUGGGUUGUAAACUGCUUUUAUUCGGGAAUAAACCUUAUUACGUGUAAUAAGCUGAAUGUACCGAAGGAAUAAGGAUCGGCUAACUCCGUGCCAGCAGCCGCCGUAA
rnacentral:rRNA from 1 species